GAAAUGCCUCCAUGAGAUCCAGCUGUAAGGCAUUUUCUCAAUUAGUGGUCAAGGGGGAGAGGGCCCUUUGUGGUGGUACCAUCCCUGGGCUGGUAGUCUUG
rnacentral:miRNA from 14 species